rnacentral:rRNA from 1 species
UGGGGAAUAUUGGACAAUGGGCGCAAGCCUGAUCCAGCCAUACCGCGUGGGUGAAGAAGGCCUUCGGGUUGUAAAGCCCUUUUGUUGGGAAAGAAAAGCAGCUGGUUAAUACCCGGUUGUUCUGACGGUACCCAAAGAAUAAGCACCGGCUAACUUCGUGCCAGCAGCCGCUGUAAUACGAAGGGUGCAAGCGUUACUCGGAAUUACUGGGCGUAAAGCGUGCGUAGGUGGUUGUUUAAGUCUGUCGUGAAAGCCCUGGGCUCAACCUGGGAAUUGCGAUGGAAACUGGGCGACUAGAGUGUGGCAGAGGAUAGUGGAAUUCCUGGUGUAGCAGUGAAAUGCGUAGAGAUCAGGAGGAACAUCCGUGGCGAAGGCGACUGUCUGGGCCAACACUGACACUGAGGCACGAAAGCGUGGGGAGCAAACAGG